rnacentral:lncRNA from 1 species
GGGGGAUCAUCAACAGGCGGCCAGCUGUGGCCACCAGAGGGCGAUGGUCCCGUGGACCGGACAGACAGGGCUUCUCAGGCCAGGGUCUCCUGGAGGAUUUUUGGUCUGGUUCUGUUCUGUUCUGUUUUUUUAGUCAUUUUUAUUGCACUAUAACAUACGUGAAGAAAAGAACACAAAUCAUAAGUUGUACAGCUGUCAGAUUUUUCUCAAAGUGAACAGGAAAGAGUAGCAUCCAAACCUGUGGAAGAACUCAGGCACCAAGGCACUGGAGGGUCAAUAAGCUGCCCAAAGCUUCGUCCUGGUGAGUCACAGCGGCCCAGUGUGGCCCAAUCCUAUAUGAGAGAAAAGAAAGUAAAGAAGAAAGUGGGAUGCUGAGAAACGGAAAGAGCAACCAGCUUUUCUGAUUCAAACGUGUUGGCAGAACUGUGGAAAUUGGAGAAUUGUAUUUCCCUCUUGGAAAUGUGGACACGAGGAAGAGAGGCUGAGCCCUGUGCUGGUGUGCAGAGUGCUGAGGCCAAGAGCACGAUGGUUACGUGUGAGGUGGUAUUAUGGCAACACCAACUGGGAGACACGGAGAAGACGGUUGGGAAGAGCCGAGGGAGUCCUGAAAGAGAUUGCCAGCAGGAGAAAAUUAACUCAGCUCUCGUGGCCUUCCAGCUCCCAAGGCCAGUGUGCAUGAGGCUGACCCUUGUCUUCUUGAAAUGAAGUGUAACUCUUUCAAAGUAGGAAGCUGGGAAUUUUCUCCACUAGAAUCAAGGAGGAGAAUGAAAAGGCAGGAAAUAAGAACUGGGAGAUUUCUUGAGAGUGGAUAUUCUGCUAAGGUCGCUGCCUUAUAAGGGAGUCCUUGACCUGAGGUCCAUGAACUGAUGGGCUGCUGGGAGUGAUGAGCUCCUCAGAAGCUCAGGUAGACGUUUAUGGGCAUUUGUGCAUAACUGCAUUUUAUAGAGGAUAAGAUCUACAAGUUUUAUUCUCAAAGGGACCCACGAACCUAAUAAUUAAAAACAACCACCCUAUGAGAAUAGAACAUUUCAAGAACAUCUAUCUUUCCAAACCCUAGGUAGGAAUUUAAAUAUUUUUAAAAUAAUAAUGACUACAUUAAUCCUCCAGAGAGAAAGAUCA